rnacentral:rRNA from 1 species
AACCUUUUGAAACUAUAAAUAUAAGGCCCUUCCUGCCCAGUGAUAAUAUUUAUUCAACGGCCGCAGGAUCCCGACUGUGCAAAGGUAGCAUAAUAAAUUGCCUCUUAAUUAGAGGCUAGUAUGAACGGAUACAUGAGAAUAAAACUGUCUCUUCUUUAAACAUAAAAAUUGGCCCUCAGGUGAAGAGACCUGGAUAAUUAUAGAGGACAAAAAGACCCUAUUGAGCUUCAUUUUAAAAGGAUGUUACGCAACAAAUAAAUUGAAACAAACCCAUAAAAUUUUGUUGGGGCGACAAAGGAAAAAAAAAAACUUCCUUAUUCUUAAAAGAUAACAACUCACACAAAUGACCCUAUUAAGAUCAGAGGAAAAAGCUACCAUAGGGAUAACAGGCUAAUCAUUUCAGAGAGCCCAAAUUGACGAAAUGGAUUGGCACCUCGAUGUUGGCUUAGGAUACCCCUCUGGCGCAGAAUCUAGAAAAGGUUGGUUUGUUCAACCAUUAAAAUCCU